UGCGUAGGCGGUUUAUCAAGUCAGGGGUGAAAGGCUACGACUCAACCGUAGUGAGCCUCUGAAACUGGUGAACUUGAGUGUAGGAGAGGAAAGUGGAAUUCCCAGUGUAGCGGUGAAAUGCGUAGAUAUUGGGAGGAACACCAGUGGCGAAGGCGACUUUUUGGACUACAACUGACGCUGAGGCACGAAAGCGUGGGGAGCAAACA
rnacentral:rRNA from 1 species